rnacentral:lncRNA from 1 species
UUAAUUAAAUAAUAGAUCUGCCAUUAAAUUGCAUUAAUUACAUAUCAAAAGUAUUUAUGUCCAAAGUUGAUUGGACCUAGGGCAUAAUACUUACAGUGUGCAAGUGUAUCCGUGUGAGAAAAAUUGAAAGGCCAAACAAGGAAGUAUAAUCAAUUAAAGGUAAUUGAACAUCCUAUCACAUGUAAUGCACAUAAAUUAAGUAAUGCUAGGAAGAAGAUGAUCUUACAUUGAUUCAAUAUUAGCUCCAAUCACAUCCUUGAGGGAGAAAAUACUCGAGAGUAAGAACAACUAAUUUAGAAAUAAAUCCUAUCCUAUGAAGUAUGAGAGUUUUCAGAUCUACUCUUUUAGGAGAGAGUUUUCAGAUCUACUCUUUUAGGAGCAUAAUAUAUUAUCUUGUUCUCAAGGAAUAUAAAAAAUUUCUGGCUAGCAAGAAUUCCAACUCCCUAGUGUUGGAAUAUAAAUAGAGAUCAACUUUGUCAAAGAUUUUUGAACACGGAAACUCAUUACGCCUAUAUCAAUGAAAUCAACGCCAGAAGUAGCAGACAAACGUAGACAAUCUUUAGUUAUGCCCAUGCUUAAUUUUACUCGAAUUGGAGGUAGGGGAACUGAUUUGAAGCACUCACUGCUAAACUCAAAUGAGAGUAAAAGAUCUGUCCCACUACAUCCAUCACCAAUCUGAUGAAGGGCCCUUUCAGAUAGGUUGGGAAGUUAUGCAUCGGAAGCUGGGAGCAAAUCCAAUGUUUCUCCAUGAUUUGGUCCCAAG